CCGGUACGUUUAACCGGAGCUUAAAAGGGAAGCCGGUGAAAAACCGGCGCGGUCCCGCCACUGUGAACGGAAGAGUCCAGGCAACACCGCCACUGGUCGCAAGACUGGGAAGGCCGCCGGAUGGGCGCUAGAUUCCGUGAGCCAGGAGACCUGCCUGUUCUGA
rnacentral:ncRNA from 1 species